GAGGGUAUAGCUCAGUGGUAGAGUGUGUGCCCAGCAUGCACGAGGUUCUGAGUUCAACCCCCAGUACCUCUG
rnacentral:tRNA from 1 species